GACGUAGGGGACGAGCGUUGUCCGGAUUCAUUGGGCGUAAAGCGCGCGUAGGCGGUUCGGUAAGUCGGAUGUGAAAACACGAGGCUCAACCUCGUGCGUGCAUCCGAUACUGUCGGACUAGAGGUAGGUAGGGGAGAUCGGAAUUCCUGGUGUAGCGGUGAAAUGCGCAGAUAUCAGGAGGAACACCGGUGGCGAAGGCGGAUCUCUGGGCCUUACCUGACGCUGAGGCGCGAAAGCUAGGGGAGCAAACAGG
rnacentral:rRNA from 1 species